UGGGGAAUUUUGGACAAUGGGCGAAAGCCUGAUCCAGCCAUGCCGCGUGAGUGAAGAAGGCCUUCGGGUUGUAAAGCUCUUUUAGUCGGAAAGAAAGAGUUGCAAUGAAUAAUUGUGAUUUAUGACGGUACCGACAGAAAAAGCACCGGCUAACUACGUGCCAGCAGCCGCGGUAAUACGUAGGGUGCGAGCGUUAAUCGGAAUUACUGGGCGUAAAGCGUGCGCAGGCGGUUUUGUAAGACAGAGGUGAAAUCCCCGGGCUCAACCUGGGAACUGCCUUUGUUACUGCAAGGCUGGAGUGCGGCAGAGGGGGAUGGAAUUCCGCGUGUAGCAGUGAAAUGCGUAGAUAUGCGGAGGAACACCGAUGGCGAAGGCAAUCCCCUGGGCCUGCACUGACGCUCAUGCAUGAAAGCGUGGGGAGCAAACA
rnacentral:rRNA from 1 species